UACGUAGGUGGCAAGCGUUGUCCGGAUUUAUUGGGUUUAAAGGGUGCGUAGGCGGCGUAGUAAGUCCGUGGUGAAAGCCAACAGCUCAACUGUUGAACUGCCAUGGAUACUGCUAGGCUUGAGUACAGACGAGGUAGGCGGAAUGGAUAGUGUAGCGGUGAAAUGCAUAGAUACUAUCCAGAACACCGAUUGCGAAGGCAGCUUACUAGACUGUAACUGACGCUGAGGCACGAAAGCGUGGGGAGCGAACAGG
rnacentral:rRNA from 1 species